ACCGCUCAGUAGCCUCAUCUGCAAGGCAGUCUUCCUACAGGAGCUUAGGGGUAUAUGCCUUUCCGUGCUGGGAGAAGAGCGUUCUGUGGCGUUGGCACCUCGGGGAGAAGCUUCAGGUGUCAGGACGAACUCCUGAGAGCUUAGCAUCCGGGAUGUGCAUGAUUUGGGGAGCCAGGCAGCAGGUCCUGCUUGCUCCCCGGAGGGGACGGCCUUACGCUGUACUCCCCAGGCAUCUGAGGACCCAACAGUGCUCCUUGCUUGGAGGCCAGUGAUGAGCUCCUAAUUUCCCUGUGGGCCGCCUGGACCUCUACAAGACAGGCUUCCAGAGACGCAGUGCGUUCUCCUGAGCGACCAGGGGCUGGCAGGAAGGGCGAGUGCUUGGUGCUGCACCUCAGUCGCUGCGGCCCCAGGAGCAGCUGCGGCCGGAAUACGUAUGGAUUUAUCAACACCUGUCUGCAAUCUCUUGUGAUAGAGAAAUUUGGCGAAGAAACAUGGAAAAAAUUGAAGUAAAUGAAAGGGAAGAUGAAGUAUCCCUGGAGCAACUGAACUUCUGCAGAAGUACAAGAUGCCUUCAUGACGUACACAGUGUAUGAUGACAUCAUCACCAUUAAGCCCAUCCAGGAGGCGUGCAAGAUUUUGGGUAAGUGAAAGAACUUGUUUUGCUUUCUUAGAGCUGCCCUAACAAAAUCCAGUUGAUUCUCAUUAUUUGCAGUGGUUAUAGUCUAUAAAGCUGCUGCAAUACUGAAUUAGU